rnacentral:RNase_P_RNA from 1 species
AGGCGCCGCCAGACGGCCGCUCGUCGGGACCGGGCUCGCCCGACCCCGACGGGAGGAAAGUCCGGGCACGACAGGACACGGUGGUGGGUCACGCCCACCCGCCCGCAAGGCUCCGAAAGGAGGCGGCUGAGGGCGAGGGAAAGUGCCACAGAAAGCAAACCGCCGAUGGCCCGGUCCGCCGGGCACAGGCAAGGGUGAAAGGGUGCGGUAAGAGCGCACCGCCCGUCUGGUGACAGACGGGGCACGGCAAACCCCACCGCGUGCAAGCCCAAGCAGACCCCCAUGCCCUCGGGCAUGUCCCUGGUCCGGGGAUCGCGGGGUCGGGUCGGGUGCUGGGGACUUUGGUCCCCCCGGCGUCGGCAACGGCGUCCGGCAGAGAAAUGGCCGUCCGAGCCACGAAGGUCCCGCCGAGCCCCCGUCAAGGUGGCGGGAAACCACGGGGCGAGACAGAACCCGGCUUACCGGCAGCGCCCAGCC